rnacentral:rRNA from 1 species
CCUUACCCAACAAUUCCCUCUUCCUUCACGAACCCUGUUUAUAAUAUUGAAUAACCUUAUAAAAUUAUAAGAGAUAUAAUGUUAAAACUAGUAACAUGAAGACAGCCCUUCUCCAUAAUGCAAGCAAACACCAAAACGGACUAACCAUUGGCUUUUAACGUCCAUGAACCCAACCUAGCAACACCCCCUGCGAAAACCCUACGCCCAUCCCACGUUAACCUUACACUAGAGCAUUACUGGAAAGAUAAAAAGAAAAAGAAGGAACUCGGCAAACCUAGAUCCCGCCUGUUUACCAAAAACAUCGCCUCUUGAAAUUCUGCUCUUAUAAGAGGUCCAGCCUGCCCAGUGAUAUUUUUUAACGGCCGCGGUACUCUGACCGUGCGAAGGUAGCAUAAUCACUUGUUCUUUAAAUGAGGACUAGUAUCAACGGCAUCACGAGGAUUUUACUGUCUCCUUUUUCCUAUCGGUGAAACUGAUCUCCCCGUGAAGAAGCGGGGAUAAUUCUAUAAGACGAGAAGACCCCAUGGAGCUUUAAACCCAGAGACACCUCAAACCCCCCUUUCCAUAAAAGUUUUUAUGUGCUGUCCUCUGGUUUUAGGUUGGGGUGACCGCGGAGUAAAACUUAACCUCCACAACGCACGGAACUUCUUCCUUAUCUAAGAGCAACAUCUCAAAGAAUUGACAUAUUGACGUAAAAUGAUCCAAUAACUUUUAUUUUGAUCAACGAACCAAGUUACCCUGGGGAUAACAGCGCAAUCCAUUUCCAGAGCCCCUAUCGACAAAUGGGUUUACGACCUCGAUGUUGGAUCAGGGUAUCCCAGUGGUGCAGCCGCUACUAAUGGUUUGUUUGUUCAACAAUUAAAACCCUACGUGAUCU